AACCCUAACCCUAACCCUAACCCUAACCCUAACCCUAACCCUAACCCUAACCCUAACCCUAACCCUAACCCUAACCCUAACCCUAACCCUAACCCUAACCCUAACCCUAACCCUAACCCUAACCCUAACCCUAACCCUAAACCCUAACCCUAACCCUAACCCUAACCCUAACCCUAACCCUAACCCUAACCCUAACCCUAACCCUAACCCUAACCCUAACCCUAACCCUAACCCUAACCCUAACCCUAACCCUAACCCUAACCCUAACCCUAACCCUAAUGCGCGGACCCUAACCCUAACCCUAACCCUAACCCUAACCCUAACCCUAAUGCGGGGGCCCUAACCCUAACCCUAACCCUAACCCUAACCCGAACCCUAACCCUAACACUAACCCUAACCCUAACACUAAACCUAACCCUAACCCUAAUGCGGACCCUAACCCUAACCCUAACCCUAACCCUAACCCUAACCCUAACCCUAAUGCGGACCCUAACCCUAACCCUAACCCUAACCCUAACCCUAACCCUAACCCUAACCCUAAACCCUAAACCCUAACCCUAACCCUAAACCCUAAACCCUAACCCUAACCCUAACCCUAACCCUAACCCUAAUGCGGGCCCUAACCCUAACCCUAACCCUAACCCUAACCCUAACCCUAACCCUAAUGCGCGGGCCCUAACCCUAACCCUAACCCUAACCCUAACCCUAACCCUAACCCUAACCCUAACCCUAACCCUAACCCUAACCCUAACCCUAAUGCGAGGUGUCGCCUUUCAUUGUCUGGUCCAGGGGUAAUACACACGGCAAGCUUGAUCAACUUGACGGAGCCGGCUCGGGUAGGGUGUCUAAUGUAAAGGCUCGAAACACCCGACGAUCCGAGAGUGCAUUACUGAUGAUGUGUCCUGGCACAUGAUAAUGAGAGGUUUCGAUUUUCCUAUACAAGCAGCUGGCUUAGGAGCUCAGACUUUAAAUUCUGCAGACUAACCUUUGCCAGCUAAACAUAUAGAUCCACCAGCCCUACACUUAAACCUAAUCCUAAAGUCCAAAAGGGGCAUACACCCCCAUAAAUAGGCAAAUUCCAAGAGGGGUAGUCACCCCCAUAAACCCUAGGCAACUUCUAAGGGGGGCAUACACCCCCACAAACCCUAGGCAUUCCCCGAUUAAUUUUUGAUAUUCUGAGAGGGGUAGGAUUCAACAAGGGCAAGUGUGGGACCUGGUUAAUGAAGGCGUGGGCCAGAUCAAAGUGGCAGGGUGAUGUGAAACAGAAUCUCAAGUGGGGAGAUCAGAAAUCACAAGAGGGCUUUUUAGCCCACUGCCCGCAUAAUUUCAACCUAACCUAUCAGUGACACGCUCUUCAUUCUCCCGGCCCCAGAAAGGCCAAUAAGAAAACCCAGAUAUUUUGUUUCACCUAUCAGGUGUUAAAAAAUUCAUAGUUAAAAGAAGGGAGAGGUUCACCAAUCAGCAGCUAAUGUACCUUUAAGGGCUGAGGUGAGCCGGUCUCCUAGCAACAGCCAGGUUUGCAGUAGGUGGACAAUUAGGUUUUAGUAUCACAUUAGUUAAAAGAGGCCCUGCGGGGGGAAGAAGGUGAGGGAUGUUUUAACUGGAUAGCAGUACUGUCUGGGUUUAGAGACUCCACAGAAGACCCGAGUGACGGACGAGAGUCGAGUUGGACCUUCCGGUCGGGAAUCACGCUUUUUUGAAGGCAAUUGGUUGGAGUCGAAAUCGCAGACGCAAGAUAAGCAAGACUCCACAGAAGACCCGAGUGACGGACGAGAGUCGAGUUGGACCUUCCGGUCGGGAAUCACGCUUUUUUGAAGGCAAUUGGUUGGAGUCGAAAUCGCAGACGCAAGAUAAGCAGUAGGAACAUUAUUCUUUUAUUUAUUGUCUUACUUACAUUAUUGUCUUAAUGAUGUGGAAAGGCAAGGAUAGGAGAGGUUGUGUGGAUCGAUACCUGCCACGUGGGCGAGUGGGUAACUCUGGUUAGUGUCCCUGGGGAUUCCUUCUUAACCACGGUCAGGUUAAAAAUAGUCCAGAACUUUCAUUAUGUGAAAAUUCUGGAAAAAUAGUCCCAACUACUAAAGGGAAUUAAGAAGUAGGCCUACAGAUUCUCCGCAUGGCCUGAAUGAGGCCCAAGGAGCUAGGCCGCCCUGGAAUUAAACCCUUAGAAGUAGUAUGACCUGUACAAUUUUGUGCCUUUCGUUGUCUGGUCUAGGGGGUAGUACAUACGCCAAGCGUGAUUGGCUUGGUUUAAGCCAUUUCAGGGGAGGUGUCGCCUUUCAUUGUCUGGUCCAGGGGUAAUACACACGGCAAGCUUGAUCAACUUGACGGAGCCGGCUCGAGGAGGGUGUCUAAUGUAAAGGCUCGAAACACCCGACGAUCCGAGAGUGCAUUACUGAUGAUGUGUCCUGGCACAUGAUAAUGAGAGGUUUCGAUUUUCCUAUACAAGCAGCUGGCUUAGGAGCUCAGACUUUAAAUUCUGCAGACUAACCUUUGCCAGCUAAACAUAUAGAUCCACCAGCCCUACACUUAAACCUAAUCCUAAAGUCCAAAAGGGGCAUACACCCCCAUAAAUAGGCAAAUUCCAAGAGGGGUAGUCACCCCCAUAAACCCUAGGCAACUUCCAAGGGGGGCAUACACCCCCACAAACCCUAGGCAUUCCCCGAUUAAUUUUUGAUAUUCUGAGAGGGGUAGGAUUCAACAAGGGCAAGUGUGGGACCUGGUUAAUGAAGGCGUGGGCCAGAUCAAAGUGGCAGGGUGAUGUGAAACAGAAUCUCAAGUGGGGAGAUCAGAAAUCACAAGAGGGCUUUUUAGCCCACUGCCCGCAUAAUUUCAACCUAACCUAUCAGUGACACGCUCUUCAUUCUCCCGGCCCCAGAAAGGCCAAUAAGAAAACCCAGAUAUUUUGUUUCACCUAUCAGGUGUUAAAAAAUUCAUAGUUAAAAGAAGGGAGAGGUUCACCAAUCAGCAGCUAAUGUACCUUUAAGGGCUGAGGUGAGCCGGUCUCCUAGCAACAGCCAGGUUUGCAGUAGGUGGACAAUUAGGUUUUAGUAUCACAUUAGUUAAAAGAGGCCCUGCGGGGGGAAGAAGGUGAGGGAUGUUUUAACUGGAUAGCAGUACUGUCUGGGUUUAGAGACUCCACAGAAGACCCGAGUGACGGACGAGAGUCGAGUUGGACCUUCCGGUCGGGAAUCACGCUUUUUUGAAGGCAAUUGGUUGGAGUCGAAAUCGCAGACGCAAGAUAAGCAAGACUCCACAGAAGACCCGAGUGACGGACGAGAGUCGAGUUGGACCUUCCGGUCGGGAAUCACGCUUUUUUGAAGGCAAUUCGUUGGAGUCGAAAUCGCAGACGCAAGAUAAGCAUACUGUCUGGGUUUAGAGACUCCACAGAAGACCCGAGUGACGGACGAGAGUCGAGUUGGACCUUCCGGUCGGGAAUCACGCUUUUUUGAAGGCAAUUCGUUGGAGUCGAAAUCGCAGACGCAAGAUAAGCAGUAGGAACAUUAUUCUUUUAUUUAUUGUCUUACUUACAUUAUUGUCUUAAUGAUGUGGAAAGGCAAAGAUAGGAGAGGUUGUGUGGAUCGAUACCUGCCACGUGGGCGAGUGGGUAACUCUGGUUAGUGUCCCUGGGGAUUCCUUCUUAACCACGGUCAGGUUAAAAAUAGUCCAGAACUUUCAUUAUGUGAAAAUUCUGGAAAAAUAGUCCCAACUACCUAAGGGAAUUAAGAAGUAGGCCUACAGAUUCUCCGCAUGGCCUGAGUGAGGCCCAAGGAGCUAGGCCGCCCUGGAA